rnacentral:rRNA from 1 species
GACGAACGCUGGCGGCGUGCUUAACACAUGCAAGUCGAACGGAAAGGCCUGCUUUCCCUUGUGGAUUGCGGGUACUCGAGUGGCGAACGGGAGAGUAACACGUGAGUGAUCUGCCCCCAACUUGGGUAUAAGCCUGGGAAACUGGGUCUAAUUCCCGAUAGGACUGCAGGGUGGUGCCUGUGGUGGAAAACGAUUUUCUAGUGGUUGGGGAUGAGCUCGCGGCCUAUCAGCUUGUUGGUGGGGUAAUGGCCUACCAAGGCGGCGACGGGUAGCCGGCCUGAGAGGGUGGACGGCCACAUUGGGACUGAGAUACGGCCCAGACUCCUACGGGAGGCAGCAGUGGGGAAUAUUACACAAUGGGCGGAAGCCUGAUGCAGCGACGCCGCGUGGGGGAUGACGGCCUUCGGGUUGUAAACUCCUUUCGACCGCGAGGAAGCCACCUGGUUGGAAGGGUGGUGACGGUAGUGGUAGAAGAAGCACCGGCUAACUACGUG